rnacentral:misc_RNA from 1 species
GGGAAACUGAUUCCACGGGCAGUUGACGGUUUUGAAAGGUUUGCAUCAAGGACUUUUGGAGAGUCUCAUAAGUAGUUCUAUUUCCCAAGUUUGAAAAGGAAGGAGCUCUGAAGACUAUGUUUCCUGUAUAUGGAAAAGCACAUUUACAGGUAGGACUAGAAACUCGAUUAGAGCUGCAGUCAGUUGGCAAGCAAUUCUCUGGUGGGGUUGAAUAUGUCUCAGUUUGUUGAGUUUUGACACAGUAAUCUUGUGUCCCAUCUCCUCCUUCGUUGCAAAAAGGAUUACCUGCAAGCAUUAUCUGAAAGGGGUACCCUGGUCUUUGAGUAAAUGAUUCAAUAAGAUUUCUUUGCACAUCAAUGAGCUGCAACUGGUUGCUAUAUGUUGUAUCAAUUGUAAGUGAGCCGUUGAGUUUGUUAUUCCUCAAGAUGACUGUCUGCAGCUGGUAAAGGCUGAAAAGGCUCGCUGGAACUGUUCCCUGAAGUCCUGUGUUUUCCAUUACCAAUGAUGUUAAAGAUAUCAGGUUCGGGAUCCAUGAUGGAAAAUCUGAAGCAUUAAAUGAAUUAU